AUUUUGUGCAUUUGCCAAGUUAGGAAUCUGUAAACUAGACCUUGGGAUGAAAAAAAAGAUGAUACAAACUUUUGCUUUGAGUAUGGACGAUCUGAACCUUUGUACAGACUCAGAGGAAUGUGGUUAUUAACAACAAAUACCCUCUCAAUUUUUCCUCUUCUCCAAAGUAACUGGUCCAUACAUGAGCUCAGUUUUUGUGGUAACCCUUAGGGUGAGUGCAAACAUCAGAGCUCUCAUGAAAAGCAUUCGAUAUACUUUAUGGUCAGAGAAGGGGAAGAGAAGUAAGCCUGGAGCGCCUGCAGACCUGCAAUACCUAGGAAAGUGUUCCCAGUUCCCUCUAGACCUGUAGGCAGACUGGGUUUCUCCAAGCUCUUCAAAACUUGUCUGUGAAGGAUUACUUCCCAGAAUAUGUCCUCAAGAAGCUGCCUGGCCAGGCUGGGAUGAAGGUGGCAGUGGAGCAGGAGUGAUCCCCUUUGGUGAGUCCUGAUUCAAUGUCAGUCUGAAAUGGAAAGUAUUGGGCUUUCAGACUAUGGUGGUGGAAGUUUAAUCUUCCAGGGCUAAAUCUACACAUCAGAGAGCAGAGCAUGCCUCUACAGGAUUUGUGCUGCUACCCUGCGAUGAGAGGCUGGGAAAGAGUUUGGAAAUAUCCAUCUAAUGCCUGGUAAAUGAGUGUCUACAUUGAACAAAGCAAACAUUGCCACACUUGCCAGUUUUGCCAGUGAGGCUUGUAGGAUGAGUGGGCACUGGAGUUUCAAGUAAUCCCUCUCUCAGAAGCAAUCUGUCUCGAGUCAAUGGUGAGCAGCAUUGGGAUGGGGUAAGCAAUCCGUGCUGCUGCUUCUGCUGCGCUGUCUGUGGAUAAAUGAAGGCAUUUAGUUAACCAGACGUGUAAUUCCAGCCUGUUUUAAUAAGUUUGAAUUACACACACUGAGCAUCUUGAUGCAGGUAUGGAAGAGUAGGUUUGUUUAUGCCAGUUUUUAAUGCCACUCGCGUUAUUUUGGAUACCAGUGAUGUUAGACUACAAGUCUAAUCUCUUCUCUGUUAGGGUCUCACUUUUUAUUUAGAUUUUAAAACGGUAUUCAAAUGAGGUUUUGACCGAAACUGAAUCACUAUGUACUUGAAAGCUAAGGAGCUUAUCAGGCAUCUGAUAAUGUUUUCAGGAUUUCCCCAGAUUAGACCGCGGAGUGUACAGACAGGAAGCUGAAGUAUUGAGCGCCUGACCAGAGCUUCCUCCUGUGCAAGAGUGGGGGUUUCUCCAACUCGAAUCUUUAGCUCUACAAGCACAGUCCGAGUCUUGAAGUCCAAGGGAUAAAAAGCACCCAAAUCUUUCAGCUGGGUCCUCCGAGCGUGGAGAAUGGAGUACUGCACUUAAGCCCUGCUUGCAAGGUCAGCAAAACAGUUCUCACCUCUCCCUGCUGCUGCUUACCUUCCUGGCUCCUUAUCAAGCAGGGAAUCAGAAAGGGACUUUCCAGAGCUAUAAACAUGUGAGCUGAAGAGAUGGAAUGAACCCUUAUGCAAAUGAGUCUUGAUUCCCUUCCCUUUAUAAAGAUAAAAAGUUUUUGAGAGAGCAACGGCUCCUCCAGAAUGUGGGUGUCCGGAGUUAUUGCCUCGGACUGGCUGGAUCUCUGUGCUAUCUGUCUGUCUGUCCGCCUUUCUUUCUGCUUGUCUGUCUUUCCAUUGUAGAGAACAAAGCGGAGUGAUGUAAAAUAGAAAAUGAGACAAGCAAACCUUUGGUGAUUGAAGAGGAGGAAGGAAAAUGAAAGAGAAAAAGCUGAAGAGUGGGAAAAAGAUAAAAUAAAAUGAAUUUUGGGGAUUCCACUGUGAGUAAGAGCUGAAAAAAAAGUAAGCUGAUUUAUUACAUGUUUAUCUUCUGCCUGCGAGUCAGUGCGCCUUGUAUAUGCGAGGGGUGAACUGCACAUUAAAGAUUGAAUCAAAAAGCCAAAUUCUUCCUCAAUUCCUCCAGCUUUAAACGAGCAUAAUUCUGACAGCUCCGAUGGAUUUACAUUUUGUAAACAGCAGCGGAAUCAAGAUCAAGUCCUUUAAGUCAUUUUGAGUCAUAUUUAUGCUGAAGUUAUGAGAAAUUUAGAAUGACUUUUAAAUAACGUUUGUCAGGGAAGCUGCACAUUUUCUAACGCUUCUCUUCACUGGGCAGGAAUUUUGCUAUGGUCAUUGCAGUGUUGUUAUGACUUUAUUCUGAAUCCAAUGGCAGUACAGAAAGAAGGGGUGAUGUUAUCGUUAUGUGCAUCCAUAUUUUCCUUGCAUUAUGACUUAUGUAUAUUCAUUUUUAUUUUAAAUGUGUAUUUUAACAACCGUUUAAACAGGGAGAUGGCAUGAGCUAGUUGAUGUAAGUAUUUUUUUUUCUCUCCAUCAAAUGCCACUGAUUUUGAAAAUGCAGUGUUUGACUGCAGCCGGAGGGUUUAGCUGGCUACACCUUGCUUUCUUUCACAUUAAUCCUUUACUCUUUUGCAGGUUUAUUUCUUCCUUUGCGUGCUCUGAGCUUAUCUGGGCAUCCAAAAGUUUGUUUUAUAGUAUGGAAGAAGAGGGACAGAGGAAGAACCGCAGGUUUUCUUGAUGAAAUUUCCAAGCUUUUGCAGGUGUGGAGACGGGCUUCUGGAGCCUGCAGAAUAAGGCAGCUCCCAUCCCUCUCUUUCUCCACCUAAUCAGACAGUUUCUCUUACUCUUCCUUUUUCUGAACAGUUUGUUCGCUAAAAAAUGCUGUUUCGAAUGAACUGAAAUUAUUGACAGAGCUGAAUGGAGUGGUGCAAAUAGUACUGGGUAAACCAUCAAAAAAAUAUUUUGACAUUUGUAGAAUUAAAUCCUAAUUCUUUCUUUGAAAGUGCUUUUUUUCAUUUUCAUGUUCUUCUUAUCGUUUUUAUGCAGCAAUAAUGACAGCAAAGAAGAAACGAAGUAUUUUGUUUUAGGCCAAGAAAUACGUUCUAGUGCAGCUCAAAUUAUUUGCUUAUUUAUUUAGUGUUCAGAAAAGAACAAAAGUCACUCCAGGUUCCACCAAAUGGCAUUUUCCUUUUCCUUUCUUUUUUUUUUUUUUUUUUUUGAUUAGUAGAGGAAAACAUGGCUAAUUGCCACAGCCAAAAGUCCAUACCAUUGUCAGGACCAGCUGUAUUUCAGCUAUGUUAAUCUGGCAGAAUACUGAGCAUUCAUUUUCUGUGGGAAAUGAUGAUUAAAAAAGGGAAUUAUUUUUGAUAAGAAAAACGUACCCUUUUCUGUGCUUUUAUUGGUCAGAUUAAAUAUAUAAUCCACCUUUUCCCAUAAUCAGGGAAAGAAAAAAAAAAAAGGAGGAGAAAAGUCAGUUUUCAUUAUUGAAAUAGAUUUUCUGGAAGAUUUUUGACCCAAUUCCCUAACAUGAAAGGCUGCAGCUACUCUCUCCUGCAGUGUUUCAGAUGCCUGUGCUCCAUCGCAGCUUCCAUUGGGGCUGAGCGCUUCCCUUGGGCAGCAGAGCCUGGAGCUCCUGGAGCCAUGGGAUGAGGCUGCGGUGGGGACUCUUUGGCAGGACAGAGGUUUCAAGUGUGUCAGUGACUGCCUGUGGUCUUUGUGGGGGGAUUCAGUAAGGAAAAGUAUGGAAAACAGAGAGCUGCAGAAAACUAUUUCAAAGCUUGGAUUCUGUAGUGCAUGCUGGAUAGCCAAGUCCUCACCGGCAACUUGAGCAAUGUCAUGUCAAAAGUCUGUGUAGAAAUCAAAGAACGUCUUUACUUUUCACUGUAAUCAUUUGUAGCAGUUAAUACAUUUGAUUAAAUGUUCGAGAGUUGGUCAUGUUGAAUCUGAAUGGCACCUAGAACUAUUUUCUUUAAAAUCAGCCCCGGUGAGCUCAAGGGGAGCCAGAUUUAACAUCGUGGUGAGCGUAUCCUGGUGGAAGGCAGGCUGGCUCCCCGCAGGCUGUCUGCAUCAGCGCUUCUCAGCCUUCUCUAAUGGGGCCUUCUUGGAAAAGCCGUGGCUGGACCAUUUCCCACGCACAACAAGGAGCCGUCUGCACCUGCAGGCGCUCACUGGCAGCAUCCAGAGAGCGGCUCCCGGCUCCGUCUGCCAGCACUGGUGCUUCUCUGCCAAAUGGAGCAGACAUGUGGUUUGUAUCUUCUAAAUGAGCUCGUGCACAGAGCAGGUUCUGGCGUCCGACAGCAAACAGUGGGCUGCAGCCCACGGGCUGUGUAACACCCAUCCAGCUCCCGGCGCUGUCACGCCUGCACCUGGUCAUGAGCCAGAGCUCUCGGGCUGUUGCAUUCGCUGCUGUGUGCCGGUCUCUGCAUAACUACGGCCAGUUUGCACUGCACUUGAGCUGUUUCAUUAUUCUAAUUUUAAUUGUAGUUGAUUUCAGUGAAUUAAUGUUGAAAUGGGCUAUAUAUGAACUGAAAGUGUGCUUGCUCUUCACAGCUUAUUUUCAGUAGCUGCAGUAUUGUUAGAGUAUAAAUACAGCCAUCUCUUAUGGAAUCGUAGGAUCACUGGAGUUUGAAGGGAUGUUUAAAGGUCUUUGAUUCCAAUUCCCCUUUCCAGAUUUCAACUCCAGCUUUUAUAUUUCAAGUAUUUAGAUACUGAACCUGUCUGAAGAAAAAAUAUCUCCGGCUUCUAAUGGAUUUCUAACAUUACAAUUGUUUAUUAUAAUAAAUAAUUGAAUAAUAAUAGCCUAAUAUAAAAAAGAAUGAAAUCCUUGCUGAGUGAUCAUGGCAUUCCUUUUUUAAAUAAUGCAAUAAUUACAAAAACAUUUUAGUUAAUUAAAACUUUAAGUUAAUGUUUGCCUGUUUUUCAACUACUUAUGCAGACCCUAAUCAUUUUGGGUUAGUGAUACAGAGCACAGCAGCUGCACAGGGACAAAGACUUGUAAGUACCUGUGCUGUUGCCACAGAUGGAACAAUGCCAGUUCUUUUGAGUUCUUAAAAAUGUGGAAAUUGAAAGGGAGCAAGGAAUGGCCAUCUACUCUCUCCUGUUUGCUUUACCCACCUCUCCCUAUGUUGUUGGUUGUUUAGAUUGUAUCUGACAUGUAUGGCCGGACCAGACUUUUCUGGUGCUUGGUUCCAAUAUAUGCAUCAGGAAAUGGUUUGGGUGAGCAGUCCAUAGUGCUACGCGUUGGGACGCAGCACGUGCCUUGCACCCAGCAUCUGCAGCACAUGCCUGGUUGGAUAUCUGAGCCGAGGGAGGAAGCACUGCUGGAUUUGGGACCGGCUCCAUACACGAGGUAGGCCUUUUCCUGACACGGCUAGUCACUGACAUGAAACGUUUUGCCGUUAGGAUGAAAAAUGUAUCAGUGAAAUGAUAAGGAAUAAAUAGGGUUGGAGUUUCACAGCUUUGCAAGGGCUUUUAACUUCUCAGCUCUCAUUACCCUCAUUAGCACAAUGAGAAUGGGCUUCCUGGCUGUCCCCACUGCUCCUUGCAACAUCUGGGCAGUGUCAAGGCAGUUGUUACUACAUUUGUGUCCGUGUGCAAGAUGCAUGCUUUAUACUGUUUACAUUCCCUGCGCUGUGUUCCCUUCUGUCACCUGAGAGUGCAUAGGAAGAAAUACGGAGUGCAUGCAUGUCUGCAUUUUUCAGUACAAAAACGUGCUGGAGUCGUGUUUGGAGAGCUGUGACCUAUUGUGGCUUCUUUUAAGUGUAACUGAAACUGUGCUGUAGUAUAACCGUACUCUAACUAUGCGCUAUAGAGAUUACUAAAAGUACUUGCUUUGGGAGGCUUUUAUAAUUAUUACCGAUGGCAAGAAGGUUUUAAAGCUCUGAAACAGGUUUUUCAUGCUAUGAUUUUCCAUAUGAUUGUUUUAAACGCCUACGGUGUUCAUGCAUGCAGCUGAGGUGUAAUAUGUUUCAGAUAUCAAUUGAUACAUUUUGCCACGUACUUUUUCUUUAAAUUAAAUUAGCAGCGCAAUGCAAAAACUGUCAGUUUUAGGUCAAGAAAUGAAAUGGAAUAUGCAAUGAUUUUGAUCUUUCGCAAAGGAAAAUGGUCUGUUGCACAAAGUAAUGUGUUGUUGGAAAAUGUGAUUAAAAUGGAGACAACAGAACUGAACCUCCAGAUAAGCAGAGUGGAAUAAUUCUACAGGGGAGGAAAUUGCAUGUUUGUUAUUCGUGACAUGGGCAUUGGCAGCAGAAACACAGCUACCGCCUGAAAUUAGAAAUGCAUCCAGAAAGUAACUGGGAGUUUCAGAAAGCAGUUUGGGAACAAACGCAGCUGCUUCUGCCAAGAGCAAAACAUGAAGGGGGGGCGUGGGGGGGGACACUAAUACCGAUUCAUCACAAGAUGUGAGAUUGUUUGUUUCAAAGACAAGUUUAAAAAAAUAGGAUUUAUUUUUUUUAAAGCUCUUUUUUUGUUCAGUGGGGGGAGGACUACAAAAGUCAACGCGUUCUUCCUGGGCUGAAGGCAUCGCUGGCUUGAUGCAUUUGAAGGGUUCAGGAGGAGGAAUCCUUGCGGGCAGUUCCUUGUUUGACACUGGGAGCCCAGGGAGCGAUGCUGGAGCAGGGCGUGCUUAGCGCCCAGGUGUCUGUCUGAUGGAACUGGUAGAGCAGAGUGCAGUUCAAGUGCAAAGCUUUUUCUCUGUGAUUGCACUGGAGGUUUGCUGUUGGAUUUUGCAGUGCUGAAUACGAUUUUUACAAAACUAGGGAAGAGUUGCAGCUUCUCUGCGUGUAAGCACAGAAAUGUUUGUCUGCAAACAUGGAUAUUUGCUUUACCAAAACGGAUUAACAAAAAAUGACAGUGUGCUAAGAUACAGGCAGUGUUUGCCUUGUGUCCAAGCACUGCGUCAGGACCUCCUUGCUGAUCCUUACAUUUAUACGCAGAGCAGCUCUGUGUUGGUGUAUGUGAUGGGAGCAGAGCUGCUCAGCAUAGCAAGGGCCCAGCUGCUGUGCUGCCCGUCCUGCUGCCUCAGUGCCUCCUUCUUCCUCUCUGCCCUCUUGCUUCAUCCAGCCAGAUGGCAGCGUAGCUGUGGGAUAUGUGUUUUCCCACCAGCUAUGGGGGGAAAAUGUAUUUAACUCAAUAAGGGUGAGGAAGAUGCAUUAUGCUCUUAAUGGAAUGUGACCAUAUUCAUAUUUUUAUUUCAAGUUCCCCACCAGUGUUAAUUAAUUAUCACGCACGAUGAGCUCAUUUAAAACGUAUCUGGAUUCACACGGAGCUGCAGUACAUCAUUGACUGGUUAAGAAGCAUUAAAAUCUCACUCUUUGGUGUAUGUGCAGACAAAUGUAGAUGUUGUAUUAGCAAGAAAGGUACUAACGGCAACAUGGAGAAUAAAAAUAGGGGAUGGUAAGGAAAACGCCGAAGUUUUACACAAUCCAUUAACUUGAUAGCUUUAGGAUCAUUAUGUUCAUUUCCUUUUGAAACAUAUUUAAUUCAAAAGGAAACUUAUGGAAGAAUAGUCUUCAGGCACUUAACAUUACUUAAUCACUCUAAAAAGAUUCGCCUUUUGGUGUAGCAGUAAAACUUUAUAGGAUGAUUGCCUAUUAAGUGCCUGUCCUAUAGGGAUAGUUAUUUCUAGUGCAAUAAGACCUCCAAGCUGUGAGGUACUAAGUGACCCUGAUGGAAUAGGAAAAAAUAAUGUUGCUUCAAUAAGUGGACUUAUGGUCUGUUGAGAGGCUCACCUCCUUACUGCUCUUGCAGUGGUAGAACAAUGUAAUUCUAUGGGCUUUCUUCUUGUUUGCAAGUGCAUGAAUUUAAUUCUUGAGCAAAUGAGUUCUCAGAGGCUGGGGGACACUCCACGAAUGACACCGAUAUGACAGAGGAUGCCAUGUGUGAAGUUGAUAUUGGGUCAAAGCAGAAUGUGUCUGACACUGGCAUUGUGUGUUUUUAAGGUGAAAGAGAACGAAUGGGCUGUGACGACACUAAAUGCAGCAGGCAAACUGAGAGAGAGUUUGACCUUUUCUCCUACGUAGUUAAAAAAACCUCUAAAGUCAACUUACCUUGAAAAUGACUGGGAUUAUGAAGCUAUGCACCCAUCCAUACUGGCAGUUUAGGAAUUUAAGUUAGACAGUGGCUGUGCUGGUGGAGAACCCAGAUGGGAUGUCCUUUGGGCAGAACAGUGGGACAGGUCAGCUUGCUUGCAGCUACCUCAGAUCCAUUUACUGAGCACUGAGGAGGGGGUUGUGAUGUUCUUCCUUGUCUUUAGAGUGUCUGAUUGGUUAGAGGAAUGCAAACGAGCGUCCAAAUCAGAUGUCCCCCUGCUCUGGGUGCCUCCAGGGCACACCUAUCGACUCUGUGCUCUGAAUGCGGGGCCUGGAGUCUGUUGCAGAGGCACUUCCAUGCUUUAUUCUUUUUGGCUCUUUCUCUAUUUUACCAUAUCGUGUUUUCAUUGAUCACUGUUCAAUUUUUUUCAUAUUUUAGACUUGGAGAGUCACUGCCACAGCAGGGCUGGGCUGCAGACAGAUAUCUCACUUUACAUCAGCAAAGAUCUCCUUGCACCUGGAGGAAAGCCAAGCACCGGGGAGAGAGAGCAGAGGAUGAGAUAGUGCUGCACAUCAGAACGGCCUUGAAACGAAUGUCGUGUAUCCUCAGCUUUGAGAACUGAAUUCCAUGGGUUGUAAUUGAAUCCUUUGUCAGACCCAUGGGGCUCAGUUCUUCAGCUUGGAUAUUUCUGUCUUCACAUACACGGGAGAUCAAAGAAGCACUUGAUCAUGCGCUGACUCUUCCGGAUUCUGAUAGCAGCAAAUAGGAAAGAGAAAGAAUAACUGAUGUGAAUCACUCUGACAGGGAGGUUUCACUGCAAAGACCAGGCUCUCUCAUGUCGAGUAGCUGCGCAGUGAUUGAGCCUCUCCGUGGCUGAUAGUCUGUCCCUGCAUUGCUGCUCGCUGGUUAAUUCAACUCUCCUCUCAGUUUUAUCGAAGUUACAUAUCAAGUGCUGAGAUGAUGCUGACUGAUUUAUGCUUCCCAAAAAUUGUGUGGUGCUGCUGAAUGUGGCUCUGCUCCCACAUGGGACCAGCAACACCCCAGCCCUGCCAAGUCUACCCACUGUUGGUCUGCUGCAGCCUCCUGUCUGGGAUCACUGCUGCACAGCUACUGUUUGCUCUUUUUUGGCCCCCUUGAGGUGGACCCAUUCAAGUUGUGGGCUGAAAAAGUUUGUGUUUCUUCCUUGGAAGAUCUGUGUUAAAGUUUAUUUUCUUUCAGGCGUCAGGAAAAUAAAAUUUAUGGUCUUCAAACACGUAAAGAGGUAUAAUUACCAACGAGAUUUCUACUUCAUUCCUGCAAUAAUAACCCUUCCUAAAUUACAUUUUUCAAACUCAGUAAAAUGGAUCAGUCACUGAUCUCAUCCCUGUGGUGCAAUGCUGUUAAAAGCACAGGAAUAUUAAAAUCCCACAGGUGCAGGAGGAGCGUGUUCAGCUAAGUAGUUUAAAGCUGCUGUGUGCCUUUUAUUCUGAAAAUGUAUUUACACUAAAAAUAAUCAGAUGUAAUCACUGUUGCCUGUGGAUACAGAUGUACCUUUGUACCGAUGUGCUUUUCAUAUAAAUUUUAUUCCAGGGUUUGAAGGGUUUCUUUGUGGCUGUCUGAAGCAUAUCAUGCUGCCCAGUUGUGAGACGACGGAUCUUGGAAGGACUCACCAGUCCCACCAGCUCCUGCUGGGAGAUAUCCAUUAAACAAGAAGAAGGAGAAACAUACACAAACGAAAGCGAAAUUCUGAAGUUUCAUUUCUGCUGUACUCCCUGUCAAGGAGAGGGAAUUAAAUUGGAGAGUCAUUCAGGUGAAUUCAGCUGUAUUUGUUGCUGCUGUAAACUUGAAACUCAAUUUUGGGCCAAGUAAAGCAUUUGCUAGAAAAUAUUACCCCUCUCUCUAUCUUUUUCUAGCUGAUUUAUGCCACAUUCUGGUGCUUAUUCACAGAUCUCAGCCUGUGCAUUUUGUUCAGGUAAAGCAAUGGGCUGAGUCUUCCUGGCACAGCUGUGGCAGAGCAGCACAACCACCCACAUUUUACAGAUAAAUAAGCUGAGUCCUGACCCUUAGAAUGGGACAACAACCCUGAGUUCCACUGAGUGCCAGCUGUAUUUCAGUUCUGGCUUUCUGCUUUUCAUUCCCAACAAAUAAAUGACAACAAGCAUCUCCUUUGGCUGCUAGCAGGAGCGUGCCCCAGAAUCCCACUGAGCCUCUCCUCCCUUGGCUGAGGGUCUAUCCCCAUUUGCUGAUCAACCACUGCUCCCCUUUGCUGCCUCCCACACCAUGAACAGCCUCUGCCUUCCUUCUUGAUACUGUGCGUGCCUUGCCUUGUGGAUGCUGGUGGGAGAGGGGUGAGUGCUGGCUGCAGACCGGUGUUUCUGCUCAGCAAACGAUCUCAGGCCCUUUCAAAAGAGUGACUGCACAUCGCACACUGCUCUGCAGAAAGCUCUGUGCUUGCUACCCUUUGGUACCCCAAGACAAGCUAGCUGCUGCCAAGUACAGCUCAUCCUUUUUUGGCUAGCAGCCCUUUUUGCUUCCAGGAAAAUGAUGAGUUUAUGUCAGGUUCAGUAAUCCUGAUGUCUGCACAGCUGAGAGAAAUAGCGCUUUAAUGUGUGCAUGACUGUGCAUGUGUAUAUAUGGAAACUACAGCUUUGACAAGCCUCUCGUCUGCCUUGGGAAGGAAACAGCAGGGCUUGAAAGCCAUGGAGUCGCAAUGCGCUGGCUAAGGUCAGCAGCUUUCAGUGACUCACAAUCUGUUUUCCUGGCAGCCCCACCAUACAGCAGGUUGUGCCCUUUUUAUCUUCUGUUUCUUUAUUUUUUUUAAAAAAGAAAGGCCUACAUAAGAAAAGCUGCUGGCUCCAGACAGCCUGGAAGUCCUCACCCUUUGACAGCAUGCAUGUUCUCAAGUACAGAAAGCUCUGCUCACUGGUAUCUCUACCAGCCUAUUUUUGCACUGGUAAGGAGAUGCCCUUUCAGUUUACAUUGGAUUGAUGUUACUCUGAAAAAUAUUUGCUAGGCUGUCUCUCUGGUAGCCAUCCUUGCUUUCCAUUUUCUGUAUGCUUGCAGCCGAGCUGGGGAGGAGCAAUGGGCACAGGCAGCUGAAAGCUGCUAGGGCACCAAGAUGCCUCCGGCUGCCAUUAAGUGUCUGGUUUCGAGCAAGAGGACAGAUUUGUUUCACUUUUUCUUCCUUUUCUUUGCUAAAAAUACAAUUGACACUGCCUCAGCAUUUACAGAUAAUACAUGGAUUGGUCAAAUAAUGUAAUUUGUUAAAAGAACCCAAAGAGAUAGAAUUUUUGACUUCCACUUCUACUAACUUUUUUCCCCCAAACUUUUUAAAACUCUCCUUACCGUCGUUUUUCUUUCUUUCAUAUUCCCAACAUUUCAUUGUCAGCUGCCUCCUAUACAUACCGGAACAAGCACAGGUAAUCAUUGGGAGAGGCAGCUACUUCAUUUCGAGACAAGAAGGAAACUUCUGAAUCAGAUUUGAAAUGAACAUAAGCUGUGCUACAGAUUUGUCUCUACAGGUACAUAUCUGCUCUGACCUGUGAACCUCCAGCUCUGCCCCACGCGUGUGCAGGCACAGCCCCAUGCUGUGCAGUACAGCCCAUACCUCCCAGGAGCAGUUCACAGACAGAUGAAGCAGGCUGUGUAAGGACAGUUGCCACUGUGACGAUCCAUGCAGGUUCACAAGAACAUAUUAAAUAGCGGCCAUUAAUCUGCUGUUUAGAAAAAAAAACAAACAGCCAUGCAUUUCUACUUCCUAUAGAUAGCAAUUCAAUUAUUAUGGGGCUUGAGUCUCCUUGCACUCCUGUGAGAAGUUUUAUUCUUUAUUUAUUCUCAUUUUAUAGACUGAGACACGGGGACAUACUUGGCUGAGGACACAGAAUGAAUCUAUCUGAAGUUUUCUAGGAAUUUUGCCAUCGUUAGUAUCACUUGUUGAAAAGCGUUAGUGUAAAGGGGGCCAUCAGUCCUCUUCACAGCCCAUCCGCCUCUGAACAGUGCAGAGAUGUCCAUUUUUUGGCUGCACUGCUGCUCAGAAAGUUGCUCUGCCUCUUCCUGCCUGUGAGAGGCUUUGCAAGAGAGCCAAACGAUGAACCCCACAGCAAGAAGGACCACCUAAACCACUCCCACUUCCAAAUCAUCCUGUUAACAUUUGACAGCUUCCUGUGUUUUUCUCAUCUCCACCUUUCUGUGUUCUCAGCAUGGGAGGGCUGUGGAUAAGGAUACCUGUGGCACACGAGGCGCUUUGGGGCACAUUGCUGCCAAUCAGCCGGGUCACAACGAGAGCCCCCAAAGCAGACCUGAGGCCACGGCUCCGGGCUUCAGCAUGGCAGGGCUUCAACAGUGGAAACUUUUAUCUUUUCCAGCAUGAAAACAAAGCUCUUCUCCUGACUGAGAUUUCAUGCAGCGCCGACAGCGUUUGCUGGGCUGCUGCCAAGUAACAAAGGGCAAUAUUUUCUUAAAUAAUAAUAAAAAAAAAAAGCAGAAAGCGUAUUAAAAGUUCCCAGCCUGUGUUUGUGAAGAUCUCGGAGCCGCUUGAUUAGGAGCUUGAAGUUGGUCGGACUCCUUCCAGCUUCCCCACUUCACCCUCCUUUCUGCACGAUGCUGCAGCUGCUCUGAUGAAAAACAG
ensembl:lncRNA